GCCUGGGUGGUUCAGUCGGUUAAGCGUCCGACUUCGGCUCAGGUCAUGAUCUCAUGGUUCGUGGGUUCGAGCCCCACAUCGGGCU
rnacentral:tRNA from 1 species